rnacentral:rRNA from 1 species
AGCAGCCGCGGUAAUUCCAGCUCCAAUAGCGUAUAUUAAAGUUGUUGCAGUUAAAAAGCUCGUAGUUGAAUUUCGGGAUUGGCGCAUCGGUCGUGCCUCACGGGGUAUGAACUGGUGCAGUCAAUUUCUCACCUUCUGGAAAACCGCGAUGUCCUUAAUUGGGUGCCGCGGGGAACCAGGACCUUUACUUUGAAAAAAUUAGAGUAUUUAAAGCAGGCAUUUUUGCUUGAAUACAUUAGCAUGGAAUAAUAAAAUAGGACGGCAUGGUUCUAUUUUGUUGGUUUCUAGGACCACCGUAAUGAUUAAUAGGGAUAGUUGGGGGCAUUAGUAUUCAAUUGUCAGAGGUGAAAUUCUUGGAUUUAUUGAAGACUAACUACUGCGAAAGCAUUUGCCAAGGAUGUCUUCAUUAAUCAAGAACGAAAGUUAGGGGAUCGAAGACGAUCAGAUACCGUCGUAGUCUUAACCAUAAACUAUGCCGACUAGGAAUCAGACGAUGUUAAUUUUUUAAUGACUCGUUUGG